rnacentral:sRNA from 1 species
UAUUACAAUGUUUCGGCCACGUUUCAGU